CUAGUGAUAAAUACAGAUACACAAAUGGUACAAGAAAAGGGAGGCUGCUUGGUAAUGCAAUUACGCCAGACGCGUUAUGUCGCUGUCCUAGUUGUGGGUUGUGGCAGUGGCACCCACUAAUUGAUUCACACACAUUCAAUCACGGGACUCUUUUAUCCCACCAAUUGUCAACUUGUCAACUCCCCUUUUGCCUGCUUUCUUCUCACGUUUUCAUUUGGCUCUCUCUCUCUUGAACAACAUGGUUUUGGCCUACUUAUUUCAGAGGAAGAGAGCUGGAUUUUUCCAAGUCAUGAUCACUUUUUUUUAACUAGCAACUAUGGAUAUAGUUUUGGCACUUCUAGAGCUAACAACUAUGAACUUUGUUCUUCUGUAGAGCAUCCAGUUUUGUGCUUGAAUCUAUAUACUUUUAUUUUACAAAAGUGUUAUUAUUUUA